rnacentral:rRNA from 1 species
AGCGAACGUUAGCGGCGCGCCUAACACAUGCAAGUCGCACGAGAAAGGGCUUCGGCCCCGGUAAAGUGGCGCACGGGUGAGUAACACGUGGGCAACCUGCCCAACCCUGGGGGAUAACCUGCCGAAAGGCGGGCUAAUACCGCGUACGAGGGCUCGACUUCGGACGGGUUCUGAAAGCAGGCCUCUGUAUACAAGCUUGUGGGGUUGGAUGGGCCCGCGCUCCAUCAGCUAGUUGGUGAGGUAACGGCUCACCAAGGCUACGACGGAUAGCUGGUCUGAGAGGAUGAUCAGCCACACUGGAGCUGAGACACGGUCCAGAGUCCUACGGGAGGCAGCAGUGGGGAAUAUUGCGCAAUGGACGAAAGUCUGACGCAGCGACGCCGCGUGGGUGACGAAGGCCUUCGGGUUGUAAAGCCCUGUGGGGUGAGACGAACAGCUGGGAUUCGAAUAGGGUCUUGGUCUGACGGUAUCACCUUAGCAAGCACCGGCUAACUCUGUGCCAGCCGCCGCCGUAACAC